UGUGUGGGAUUUCUGAAUGCUGUGAGAGGGAACAAGAUAAAGGAUGGUGAUUCCUAGGUCUUAGCUACCACAAUUAUAUGUUAAUGACCCAAAAAUAAGGGAACAAAAGACUGUAUGAGUAGAUAAUGGAACCAGCAAGAACUGGCUUGACUGCUGAAGUCUGUCAAAGACAGGAAAGGCCAGAAGAUAAGCAGCAAGGAAGAC